rnacentral:rRNA from 1 species
UACGAAGGGGGCUAGCGUUGCUCGGAAUCACUGGGCGUAAAGGGUGCGUAGGCGGGUCUUUAAGUCAGGGGUGAAAUCCUGGAGCUCAACUCCAGAACUGCCUUUGAUACUGAGGAUCUUGAGUUCGGGAGAGGGUGAGUGGAACUGCGGAGUGUAGAGGUGAAAUUCGUAGAUAUUCGCAAGAACACCAGUGGCGAAGGCGGCUCACUGGCCCGAUACUGACGCUGAGGCACGAAGCGUGGGGAGCAAACAGGG